ensembl:lncRNA
CCCCUCCCAGGGUGAUGUCCCUUAACUUUAAUACCAUAUAAGCUCAUAAUUAAUAGUUUCUAAUACAAAGAUGUUAGAUGUUGCAGUUACUUUCAAAGAUGUUGCAGUUAGUUUCCCAAUCCUUCUUCCUCCUAUUGCUAUCAUGUGUUAGCAGAUGUAAGACAGCAGGUAGUGGUUAGAGCAUCAGGCCAGUAACCGAAAGAAUGCAAGAUCGAAUCCCGAGCUGACAAGGUAAAAAUCUGUUGUUCUGCCCCUGAACAAGGCAGUUAACCCACUGUUCUUAGGCCGUCAUUGUAAAUAAGAAUUUGUUCUUAACUGACUUGCCUAGCGAAAUAAAAGGUCAAAUAAACAGGAACUGAAAGUAUAGUUCACAGGCAUAUUACUUUUGUACAGUUGACCUCUUCAUGCACUUACAAAGUGUCUACCACUGAUUCUUAACCUCAAGAUUAAGCAAAACAUGAAUCAUUGUACUUUUGUAAUUACAGGUGUUCCUAUAAUGGACAGAUAUUAUAACAUUUCUUUCAACCCCUAGGCUAAUGACUUCUCCAAAAGCUAAUUGGAGUCAGGAGUCAGCUAACCUGGAGUCCAAUCAAUAAGACGAGAUUCGUUGACUUGACAAACUGGCAACAGACAAAUAGAGAACACAGGUAUAAAUACACGGGUUGAUAAUGAGGGAAAUGGGCGACACCUGGAGGGGGAUGGAGACCCCUAGCCUAGGGGUUCACAUACUUUUUCCAACCUACACUGUGAAUGUUUAAAUGAUGUAUUCAAUGUAGAUAAGAAAUAUACAAUCAUUGAUGUUUUAUUAGUUUAAGCACACUAAUGUUUGUCUAUUGGUGUGACUUAGAUGAAGAUCAGAUCUGUCACACCCUGGUCUGUUUCACCGGUCUUUGUGAUUGUCGCCCAUCUCCCUCAUUAUCAACCUGUGCGUUUAUACCUGUGUUCUGUUUGUCUGUUGCCAGUUUGUCAAGUCAAACAGCGCUUUGUUCUCAGCUCCUGCUUUUCCCAGGCUCUCUUUUUCUCGCCCUCCUGGUUUUGACCCCUGCCUGUCCUGACCCUGCCUGCCGACCUGUACCUUUGCCCCACCUCUGGAUUAUUGACCUCUGCCUACCCUGAGCCUGCCUCUGUCCGACCUGAGCCCUAGGACCAUGCCUCAGGACUACCUGGCACGAUGACUCCUUGCUGUCCCCAGUCCACCUGGCCGUGCUGCUGCUCCAGUUUCAACUGUUCUGCCUGUGAUUAUUAUUAUUCGACCAUGCUGGUCAUUUAUGAACAUUUGAACAUCUUGGCCAUGUUCUGUUAUAAUCUCCACCCGGCACAGCCAGAAGAGGACUGGACACCCCACAUAGCCUGGUUCCUCUCUAGGUUUAUUCCUAGGUUUUGGCCUUUCUAGGGAGUUUUUCCUAGCCACCAUGCUUAUACACCUGCAUUGCUUGCUGUUUGGGGUUUUAGGCUGGGUUUCUGUACAGCACUUUGAGAUAUCAGCUGAUGUACGAAGGGCUAUAUAAAUACAUUUGAUUUGAUUCACAACCUCUCCUUUGGGAAUUCACCACCAUAACUACUACAGCUAUUUCUAAACUAUCUUAAAGUAACAUGUGGGUUCUUCUGGGGGACUAAGGUUAGGAACACCUUUGAAUGGUCUACAAAGCAUGCCCCCAGGUAAAAGUAGGCUUUUUCAGAGAAUGGUUGGAUUGUUACUCCUCAGCAUAAUAUGUUAUCACAACUCUAUUUAAAGUACAUUUGAAACAAGCCGUCACGUCAUUCUUGCUAUUUGAUAGGAACUAGCCUCUAUCCCCCUACAUACCUCGUUUGCUCUUUCAGGCCCACAAAGACAAGAAAAAAAGUUACCCCAUUAACUGCUCCUCUGAGAUUUGAACUCUCAAACCCUCACUUUGGGGAUCAACCACCAUAACCACUACUCUACCAGACAGAGUCAAAAUGUUAAGGGCUACUUGAAAAUGCCCACAAAGAGAGGUUGGGGUAUGGUGUGGGGGCUUGCACUUCUUGGUUCAACCAUUCCUCAAACUUCUUCUGAUGACUACAAGCAUAGAUUAUGAAUCUUCAAAACCUACACUAUAGGAUGGAUGUUUAGGAAUGGGGGACUAAAUUCAAAAGGUACGAGUUUCCAAUUACCAGCAAAUAGAACACCAGAAAUGUUAUACCAUCAUCUUAUUAUUGUACCUUUUUCCCUUCAUUUGCCUACUACUGUUUCUAAGCUAUCAUAACAUGUGUUUUUUUUUCUCCAUGGGGACCAGGUAUCGGAACCCCUUUGACUGGUCUACAAAGCAUGCCCCUAGGUAAAAGUAGCCAUUUGCAGAGAAGGUUUGUAUCAAAUCCAAAUUAAAGUUUGUUACACCAUCACAUAAUCUGAUGUGUCAUUUCAAUAGUGUUGUGAUAUGUUACAAGGUGAAUGGAGUCUUCGCCCUUUCUCUGACACCACCUAGUAGUGGGGCAAAAAAGUAUUUAGUCAGCCACCAAUUGUGCAAGUUCUCCUACUUAAAAAGAUGAGGCCUGAAAUUUUCAUCAUAGGUACACUUCAACUAUGACAGACUAAAUGAGGGGGGGAAAAAAUCCAGAAAAUCACAUUGUAGGAUUUGUAAUGAAUUUAUUUGCAAAUUAUGGUGGAAAAUAAGUAUUUGGUCAAUAACAAAAGUUUCUCAAUACUUUGUUAUAUACCCUUUGUUGGCAAUGACAGAGGUCAAACGUUUUCUGUAAGUCUUCACACACUGUUGCUGGUAUUUUGGCCCAUUCCUCCAUGCAGAUCUCCUCUAGAGCAGUGAUGUUUUGGGGCUGUUGCUGGGCAACACGGACUUUCAACUCCCUCCAAAGAUUUAUGGGGUUGCGCACAUCGGCUAUGGAGAGCAUGAUCACACAUUUGUCCGGAACAGCUUCAUGCUCACUUCAGUGUUGCUUUGCUCGAAGAGAGCAUAAAAAGGCAUUUGCACCUUACUCCUGCUUCAAUUCUCUUUUGCUAGUCCUCCCAUGUCUUUUUUUUUACCCUUGCCUGUUUUCUGGACUCCUUACCCCGCCUGCCUGACCAUUCUGCCUGCCCUCGGGGAUGCCUGCUACUCUGUACCUCCUGGACUCCGAACUGAUUGACCUUUUGCCUGUCCACAACCAUUCAAGC